GGUGUUGAAGAUGAGUGGAGACCACUCCUGAAUGCAGUUGGCAUGGAAUUGCUACUGGAAACCUGGAACCAGACACUUUUUUUUUUUAAAUCAUCCUGGCAAUAUUUUGAUAGUGGCAUAUCCCUUGCUGGGUCAUCAAAAACUCUGUUCUGGUCUUCUAUGUCAAUAGACAAGUUUCCUUCAAUAAUGAAUUUGACCUUGUGUUAUCCAAAGCAAGUGAUUAUUUUUUUACUUGAUAUGAGAAUGAACGUCUUCCAUCUUACUACUUAACAGCUUUUGUCAACAUUUACAUUUUACUUUUAGAAAACAUAUCUGUUUUUAUUUCUUUAGUUUAUUCAGUUGAUUGUUUCCAACUUCUUUCUUCAAUUUUGAACACAGAGUUAGAUAAAUUCACACACUAUUUGAUAAUGUCUGGUAAUCCCUAUGCACUAAUGACCUGCUUUCAAUAUUGAUCAGCAGCUGUAACAUUUAUUGUUGGAAUCAGAAACAACCAUACAGUGAAUUCUGAUAGUGACUACUGAAAAAUAAGAUGAGCUAGUGAGCUUUAUCAUGUUAUCAGAUGCACAACCCACCUUGAAGUUGUUCUUUGAUUCUAUCAAGCAAUGUGCUUUUAAUAGUUCAGGACUUUACCCUCUUCCUCCUUUUCAACACCCAAAGAAAAGUGAUUUUGCCCAUUAGUCAUGCCCUGCUCUCUCUCCAGUGACUCCACCCAUUUCCCUCCCUGCCCCAGACAGUUCUAGAACUUGAUUUAUUGUUUCCUAGUAGUCCUAUAAAAAUCCUGUGCUUUUUAAUAACUUCUGUUUUAGACUUGGUAAAGUUCUCAGUCACAGACUGAAGUUGGAACCUGAUGUUUAUAGCAUCAAAAACAUUUUAAAUAUCUUUAUGUGAAUACUUCAGACUAACCUAGGAAUUGAAAAAUUUAGAGAGGUCCCAUCCAUGGAAAAACUAAAUAAAAGCACUGAAGAGUCUGGGAGGUUCACAAAGCUGCAAGCAGCUUCAUUAUCAGUGGGCCCAUGCCGUUGAUAGAAAGGGAUGUUAUGGAGUAGGCAAAUUCUUCAAAGUGUUCACCUUUUCCGAACAUCAGCCUUACCUGGGUUCACUAUAACUGGGGUGGUGGGUCUUCUCAAGGCAUUGGGAAGUCUAGGAGAUAGUGAUGCUUACAUCUGAUUUGAAGGACGUGUUGAGCUGGGUAUCCUCUUCAUAUUGCUGACAUUUUAGACUGUAGGGUCUUGCCAGAUUCCCAAGUGUUACAGUUUCUGCAGUAAGACGGGGGACAGGGUAGAGCUUUGCUGGACUUGGUAGAUGAAUGCUCUGGGAGUGUUGGAACAGUUCCCCAUCACAUCUGUCUGGGUUGGUCUGAGAGAGAAGAUUCUGACAAUUUUAGGAUGAACGCUUAUAGUUUCUUGAAGGGAGAUAGAAGAAUGUGAUGGUCAUCAGCUGUGUUGAAUGCCACAUAUAGGCCCAGUAGGCUAAGUAUGCAUUUCUGUGGACAGGAGGAUAUCAUCCACAAGGGCAACAAGUUAUGUGUCUGUGCCAUGCCUUGGCCUGAAUCCUGACUGAGAUGGCUCCAAGGCUGUGGAGCAUGUUAAGUAGGUCUGGAGAUGAUUGUAAGCAAGCUAAUCAAGAAGAUAGCAUAGGAAGAUGAGGCUUAACAUAAGAUGGUAAUUAGCCAAGGUUACCUGUGCAGAGUACUAAUUUCUUUAGGACUAGCAAAAUACAGUUGCUUUAGGGUGGGAGGUAGCAUUUUCUCCUAGAAGGAAAUAUUUAGUCUUUUUUGGGGGCGGCAAGGGUCCGAGAAGAUCUUUCACUAGCCAGGAGGAACAGGGAUCAGUCACAUAUGGUGGACCUGAUUAUUAACACUUGUGCUAUAUAAGUCUAAGCCUGAGAGAAUUGGAUAAUCUGGUGUUUAAUGAUCUGAAAAAGGACUGUGUGGGAUACAGAACCAGAGUGCCUUCCUCCUAUCUCUGAGCAAGUGGGGCAUGUGUCCCAAGGAACUGUAUUUUAGUAUAAAUUUAAAGUAAUAAAUGUAUUGAUGCAAAUGUACAUAUUUACCAAGUAUUAACAUAGGUGAAGGCUGAAGUUAAAAAGAAACAGAAAUAGUGAGUGGUUUUAGGAAAGUAUCCCCCUCAAUACUCUUAAUUGAAUCAGCCUAGAUAAUGCAAAAUUUGAUGUUCCAUUUAAUUGCGUGGCUAUAUCACUGUUAGCUUUGUAUUUGGGGUAUACUGACUUUAAAUAAAAUCAGUACACAUUUUAGAAACAAAUUUUUAACUCUUCUCUAACAGUCUUAUACUUUUAAUACAUCAAAUAGGUAAAGCUAACUGCUUGAAAGGUUGUAAUACUGUCUGGUAAUAUAUACCGGCUUUCUUUAAUCAGUGACUUUGUUUUACUAAAUUACACUUCUUCAGAGACUUCAUUGUUAACAAAUAUAAAUUAGCAAGUGUUAUAUUUCCUAUUUAUUAGAUCUUUUCUUUUGCUAAGCAAUGAACAAAAACGAGGUGGAAGUUUAAAGAUAGACUGUUUUUUUUUUUCCCCCCCCCCCCCCCCCCCCCCUUGCAUUUUCUACAUCCAGUUGGUUUCUCAGAUUAGGAUGAAGUAGUCCAAAUUUAGGAAAUGAAAUUUCAACACCUUUAGAACAGACUCCUCCUGGAACAUAAGCAGGAUUGUCACUUCUAUUAACUCAUGACCAAUGUGGCUGGCCAGUGAUUUCUACUUUUUAGUUGUUAUGACUACCUGAGUGACACACUAUCUUUGCCGUCAUCCUUCAUGUCAAUAACCCACUUCUGAGAAUGCUAUUUCAUUGUUGCUAUCAAUCCCCUAUCUUUUUUGUCUUUUUACAUGCAUGUGAUCCUUUCCGAACACUGGUGAAUGAUACAGGAAGCUCUUAAAAAUAUCCCCAGAUAGGAUCUCUUUAAACCUGGAGACAUGACAUAAUGAGUGAUACCUCUGCAAGUCAAAUGGAACCUAUUUUUGAUGGUGAAUAGUCUGUGGCUACGUAUUCGCUGCAAAAAAAUGUGAGUUACCUUAAGCGGGGGACAACUCCCAUUUACUAUCCUGCUGUAAAAUCCUGGUGGAGACAAGGCACUGUCAUUUUUACUCCAAAGUCAACCAUGGGUGGAGUUUCUCUUAGCUACCACAUGGUAAAAACUAAACAGUGCUUUGUCUCCAUUAUGAUUUUGUAGUGGAAUAGGUAACUUGCAUCUGCUAUCCUGUGGUAAAAAUGCUCCCUUUUUCUGUAUGACAGUCAUAUGGUAAAGAAUUCCCUUAGUAUGUUCAUUUUAUUCGUCUUCACCUGUAGCAACUGUAAGUACUAUGUUGUAUUCUUCAGUGUAUAGUCUAGCUUCUGCUGCUGUGACAAAUCUUUGAUCCUGCUUUGUCCAUUCCCAUUCCUACAGUGUUAAGAAAUUUGCAAGUCAUAUAAUGUACUCACAGGAAUGCUCAAGAAAAUGCAAACUUGUGUAGGUUGCAAAGUUUGACAGAAAUUGGUCCUGUUUUCUGAAUUUAUGGAAGUGUGAUGGGAUAAGCUGUCAGGUUGAACGCUGAAUGAAGACUAAUUGAGGCAUAAGUGGUUACUAAGAUGCAAGAGUUUGAUUUGUGACUUUUUUUGCAUUGGUUUGCUCUACACUAGAAAAUUAGGUUGGUUUAACUACGAUGGUCAGGAGUGUGAAAAAUCCACAUCCCUGAGCAGUGUUUUUAAACCAGCCUAACUCCCCAUGUAGAUAGCGCUAGGAUGACGGAAGAACGCUUCAGUUGAUCUAGCUACUGCCUCUUGGGGUGGUGCUUUACCUACCCUAAUGGGAGAGACUUUCCCGUCAGCGUAGGUAGUGUCUAAACUGAAGUGCUACAGUGGCACCAUUUUAAGUGGAGGCAAGCCCUUUAACUAACUGCUUUCCCAUAUAGAGGGUAAAUCUCUAAUCCCGUAUGGCUAACUGAAUUAAUUUAUUGUAUUUAAGUAUACAUGAAACAAAAAAAUCUCUUGAUCUUUAGUUGCUUUUGCCCCAUAAAAUACAAGCCAACUGCUAACUACACACACAAAUUCAGCAGAGACCUGGAAGCCAAGCAAAGGAAGUGGAAAAGCCACCUUUGCCAGAGAUUUCAAUCUUUAGUGCACAGACUCCAUUCAUGGCUCUCCCAAACCCUCUGAAAAUAAAUGGGAUUUGCAGCAUGCCUUGCAGGUGGACAGAUGUGGGCUAUUUUGGACAAGUUGAAGGGAGAGGCGUGAACUCAGAGUUCAGGGCCAGUUUCAGAUAGCAUGCUGCUAACAACUUCCUCCCUUUUAAAUUGAGGGGGCCUCAGCUUGUGUACAUCUGCUGACCCAACUUUUGGUAAUAUGACAGAAGGAGAGAUGUGAUUUCUGAAAUUGGCAGGUCCCAUAUUAUUAAGGCCAUAAUUGCACAUGCAUAUUAGCUUGGUUCCUGUCUGUCUGAAACAGCUUCUCCCACUGCACUGCUCCCUCUGUCUAGUUGGCUGCCGGUAUCAAGCGAAGUGCCCAAAGGGUCGGUCCUGGGCCGGUGUUGUUCAAUAUCUUCAUUAAUGAUCUGGAAGAUGGCGUGGAUUGCACCCUCAGCAAGUUCCCAGAUGACACUAAACUGGGAGGAGUGGUAGAUAUGCUG